AGUGAACGCUGGCGGUAGGCCUAACACAUGCAAGUCGAACGGCAGCACAGUAAGCGCUUGCUCUUACGGGUGGCGAGUGGCGGACGGGUGAUGAAUACAUCGGAAUCUACUUUUUCUUGGGGGAUAACGUCGGGAAACUUACGCUAAUACCGCAUACGACCUACGGGUGAAAGCAGGGGAGCUUCGGACCUUGCGCGAUUGAAUGAGCCCAUGUCGGAUUAGCUAGUUGGCGGGGUAAAGGCCCAACAAGGCGACGAUCCGUAGCUGGUCUGAUGGGGUGAUCAGCCACACUGGAACUGAGACACGGUCCAGACUCCUACGGGAGGGAGGAGUGGGGAAUAUUGGACAAUGGGCGCAAGCCUGAUGCAGCCAUGCCGCGUGGGUGAAGAAGGUCUUCGGGUUGUAAAGCCCUUUUGUUGGGAAAGAAAAGCAGUAGGUUUAUAUCCCGCUGUUCUGACGGUACCUAAAGAAUAAGCACCGGCUAACUUCGUG
rnacentral:rRNA from 1 species